GGGAAAUGAAGCCUGUGAAUAAAUGACGUCAGAAUAAAUAUGAAAAAAAGCGGAAUGAUGACCAGAGGAAGGAGCAGAAAAACCCAAACUUAAACCUAAAACUUAAAACGCGUAGCUGAUACAGGUUUAGUGAGGCCGUGAACUGAAACAUGGAUAAAUACCGUCAAUAAAUUAGUAGAGACCGGAUACUGACCAAAGGAAGAAGUAGACGAACACAAACUUAAACCGGAAACUUAAAACGUGUAGCUGAUACAGGUUUAGUGAAGCGUUGAACUGAAACAUGGAUAAAUACCGUCAA